rnacentral:rRNA from 1 species
AUUGAACGCUGGCGGCAGGCCUAACACAUGCAGGUCGAGCGGAUGACGGGAGCUUGCUCCUUGAUUCAGCGACGGACGGGUGAGUAAUGCCUAGGAAUCUGCCUGGUAGUGGGGGGCAACGUUUCGAAAGGAACGCUAAUACCGCAUACGUCCUACGGGAGAAAGCAGGGGACCUUCGGGCCUUGCGCUAUCAGAUGAGCCUAGGUCGGAUUAGCUAGUUGGUGGGGUAAUGGCUCACCAAGGCGACGAUCCGUAACUGGUCUGAGAGGAUGAUCAGUCACACUGGAACUGAGAAACGGUCCAGACUCCUACGGGAGGCAGCAGUGGGGAAUAUUGGACAAUGGGCGAAAGCCUGAUCCAGCCAUGCCGCGUGUGUGAAGAAGGUCUUCGGAUUGUAAAGCACUUUAAGUUGGGAGGAAGGGCAGUAAGUUAAUACCUUGCUGUUUUGACGUUACCGGCAGAAUAAGCACCGGCUAACUCUGUGCCAGCCGCCGCGGUAA